rnacentral:rRNA from 1 species
GAUGAACGCUGGCGGCGUGCCUAAUACAUGCCAGUCGAGCGAACAGACGAGGAGCUUGCUCCUCUGACGUUAGCGGCGGACGGGGGAGUAACACGUGGAUAACCUACCUAUAAGACUGGGAUAACUUCGGGAAACCGGAGCUAAUACCGGAUAAUAUAUUGAACCGCAUGGUUCAAUAGUGAAAGACGGUUUUGCUGUCACUUAUAGAUGGAUCCGCGCCGCAUUAGCUAGUUGGUAAGGUAACGGCUUACCAAGGCGACGAUGCGUAGCCGACCUGAGAGGGUGAUCGGCCACACUGGAACUGAGACACGGUCCAGACUCCUACGGGAGGCAGCAGUAGGGAAUCUUCCGCAAUGGGCGAAAGCCUGACGGAGCAACGCCGCGUGAGUGAUGAAGGUCUUCGGAUCGUAAAACUCUGUUAUUAGGGAAGAACAAAUGUGUAAGUAACUAUGCACGUCUUGACGGUACCUAAUCAGAAAGCCACGGCUAACUACGUG